UACGGAGGGCGCAAGCGUUGUUCGGAAUCACUGGGCGUAAAGCGCGUGCAGGCGGCUUGGUAAGUCGGGUGUGAAAUCCCGGAGCUCAACUCCGGAUCUGCACCCGAUACUGCCUCGCUAGAGUCCCGGAGAGGAUGUCGGAAUUUCCGGUGUAGAGGUGAAAUUCGUAGAUAUCGGAAGGAACACCAGCGGCGAAGGCGGCCAUCUGGACGGUGACUGACGGUCAGACGCGAAAGGGCUGGGAGCAAACAGG
rnacentral:rRNA from 1 species